AUUGAACGCUGGCGGCAGGCCUAACACAUGCAAGUCGAGCGGCAGCACGGGUACUUGUACCUGGUGGCGAGCGGCGGACGGGUGAGUAAUGCCUAGGAAUCCGCCUGGUAGUGGGGGAUAACGUCCGGAAACGGGCGCUAAUACCGCAUACGUCCUACGGGAGAAAGUGGGGGAUCUUCGGACCUCACGCUAUUAGAUGAGCCUAGGGCGGAUUAGCUAGUUGGUGAGGUAAUGGCUCACCAAGGCGACGAUCCGUAACUGGUCUGAGAGGAUGGUCAGUCACACUGGACAUGAGACAGGGUCCAGACUCCUAGGGGAGGGAGCAGUGGGGAAUAUUGGACAAUGGGCGAAAGCCUGAUCCAGCCAUGCCGCGUGUGUGAAGAAGGUCUUCGGAUUGUAAAGCACUUUAAGUUGGGAGGAAGGGCAGUUACCUAAUACGUGAUUGUUUUGACGUUACCGACAGAAUAAGCACCGGCUAACUCUGUGCCAGCCGCCGCGGUAA
rnacentral:rRNA from 1 species